CAUUUAAAAAAACAGGUGUUUAGAUAUGCUUUUAAAUUCUUAUGAAUCUUAAAAGUCAUGAAUUUAAAAAAGGCUUUAUGAAGAAAGCACUUUAAGCUUUUCCAAUAAUUUAAGAUGAUACCGGGGAAGGUUUUCCGGUUUAUCCCGGAGGGCUUGUAGCUCAGUUGGUUAGAGCGCGCGCUUGAUAAGCGUGAGGUCGGAGGUUCAAGUCCUCCCAGGCCCACCAAUCACUCUAUCAAUUUGAUGAAGCGCUAGCGAGCUUGCUUAUAGGAUGUUUGCCUAUCAAAUCUGCAAACUGCUAAAAUAAAGUCUACAAACCAAUAAAGCUUAUAAAUUUGUAAGAAACUGACAUGUCUUGCUGAGUAAUGCCUUAAAGGCAUUUUUUAAAAAAACGAUCAUUUGUCAUAGGACUUCAAUGUAAUGUCAUCACUUGAAUUUUAAGAGUGAACUUGUUACUUAAAAUGAGGUUCUAUGGAUGAUGAAGCUCUAUUGAUUGAGUUCGUAGAUGAAAAGUGCUUUAUUUAUCAGAGUGUUUGAAAAGAGCAUUUAUCGUUUGCGAAGAGCAUUUGUAAAAUGGAAGAGUUUUGUUGCUUGCUUUAAGUAAUCUCGUGUCAAAGCUCUUUACAGGCAAAGGAAUCCCCUUACGGGUCUUUUAUGGAAAUGUUGUUCAAUUUUAAGAGUUUGGAAUGCGUUAUGCUAUUUUAGGGGCCGUAGCUCAGCUGGGAGAGCACCUGCUUUGCAAGCAGGGGGUCGUCGGUUCGAUCCCGUCCGGCUCCACCAUUUAGAU
rnacentral:tRNA from 1 species